rnacentral:rRNA from 14 species
CCUGCCAGUAGUCAUAUGCUUGUCUCAAAGAUUAAGCCAUGCAUGUCUAAGUAUAAGCAAUUUAUACAGUGAAACUGCGAAUGGCUCAUUAAAUCAGUUAUCGUUUAUUUGAUAGUACCUUUACUACUUGGAUAACCGUGGUAAUUCUAGAGCUAAUACAUGCUAAAAAUCCCGACUGUUUGGAAGGGAUGUAUUUAUUAGAUAAAAAAUCAAUGCUCUCGUAGCUCUUUGAUGAUUCAUAAUAACUUUUCGAAUCGCAUGGCUUUGUGCCGGCGAUGGUUCAUUCAAAUUUCUGCCCUAUCAACUUUCGAUGGUAGGAUAGUGGCCUACCAUGGUUUCAACGGGUAACGGGGAAUAAGGGUUCGAUUCCGGAGAGGGAGCCUGAGAAACGGC